UUACAGCAGCGCCGCAGCGGCUCGCGCGCGUCACUACGCGUUUAAAAGCCAUAUCCACAUAUAAAAACAUGGCCUACCCUUGCAGCGAAAGACGGACGCUCGAAGUAGGUUUUUGGCGUUCGUUUUGUCUUCAGGCACACAACGGGAGCCUUGCCUCGAGGAAGCCCCUUGCCUUCUGGGAUACGAUGCUCUCGUAGUGACGGAACGGCGCGCGCUGUUUUUGUCAUCCACGUGCUGCCGUGGUGCGGUGGUGCCGAGAUUUUCGCUUCUGAGAAAUUCGAAACGAAGCGGCAGUGAAUUUCGGUGGUGCUUGCAAAGUUUGACGGGUGUGCUUCUUCUGGUGGAUCUAUACUGUGCCGCAGUGACCUCUGGGAGUGAUCGAGCGUAUAGGUGGUGACUGGGUGAAGACAGAGAGAAGAGAAGAAAAAUUGGUGUCUUGUAGUAAGUGAGUGAUGUGAAGUUGGUGUGGUGCGAGGAUAGCGCAGGAUUUUUGUGAAGUUCAAGCGGUUUUUCUCCUGUGCCCCACCGCUUGGCAGGAGCGCCAAAGACGGGCCAUUCCUUAAAUCUCUCCGACCUCAGAAACAGAAACCACCUCUGCCAAGUCAACAC